rnacentral:rRNA from 1 species
CCUACGGGUGGCAGCAGUGGGGAAUAUUGCACAAUGGGGGAAACCCUGAUGCAGCGACGCCGCGUGAGUGAAGACGUACUUCGGUAUGUAAAGCUCUGUCAGCAGGGAAGAAAAUGACGGUACCUGAGGAGGAAGCCCCGGCUAACUACGUGCCAGCAGCCGCGGUAAUACGUAGGGGGCAAGCGUUAUCCGGAUUUACUGGGUGUAAAGGGAGCGUAGGCGGGAGUGCAAGUCUGGAGUGAAAGGCGGGGGCUCAACCCCCGGGCUGCUCUGGAAACUGUAUGGCUGGAGUGCAGGAGAGGUAAGUGGAAGUCCUAGUGUAGCGGUGAAAUGCGUAGAUAUUAGGAGGAACACCAGUGGCGAAGGCGGCUUACUGGACUGUAACUGACGUUGAGGCUCGAAAGCGUGGGGAGCAAACAGGAUUAGAUACCCCAGUAGUC